GGGCGUUUUCUUAGUGUUGGAGCUGCUGUAAUCUCUUGCAGAAAUGAAAAAGCGCCCGAUGGUCUGGUGGCUGAUGCACACCUUUCAGAUGGUUUUCUACAUCUUAUACUAAUUAAGGAAUGCCCGCACGCAUGUUAUUUGUGUCACCUUCUCCAGCUAGCAAAAAAGGAUGGCAACCCACUAGAUUUUGAAUUCGUCGAGCACCACAAGACUCCAGCAUUCACAUUCACUUCUUUCGGCAAGGAGAGCAUAUGGAACGUCGAUGGAGAGCUCUUUCAAGCUCAUCAACUCUCAGCUCAAGUAUUCCGCGGGCUGAUUAACUUAUUUGCUAGUGGUCCUGAAGCCUAAAGUAGCUGAAUCUCUUCAUAUAGGUUAUGUUGCUUUGACUCCCCGAAAAUGGGCCACACUCAUGUUGGAUCCUCCAAAAAGCUCUACUUUUGGACGAUCCAGUACACACAUGUCAAUAUUUUUGAAGAGUCCGAGCAACAU
rnacentral:misc_RNA from 1 species